AUGACUGAAAUGGGCCAUGGCAGCGCUGAGCAUUGUAAUGAAGAACAACGAUAUUGCUCUCAAAGUGGGAUUUGCAGUUCCAACGUGGCAUCGUGUUGACCUACGUCUGAGAAGCUAGGGGGAGAGCUCUGAGACUGCUGGUGUGGUGACGUCUUUGAGGAAGGCACAAAAAGCUGAUGCUGAAGAACUGGGUGUGAUAUGUUUGGAUAACUGGUAUCCAGACGUCUUGGCUCAACAGGGACUACAAUUCUCUGUGUGGGCUGAAUGUGCUCUUGCAAUUGACUUAGUGUUACUGAGCAAAACAUUUGUCUCCGGCACGAACAGCAUUGGCAACGUUCCUUUGUUCUGCUUUAACAUAUCUUGAAGGGCUCUAUACUUAAUUGCUGACCAAUGAAUAUGACACUACCUUUGUCCUAAUUGACUAGUAUUCACAGAAAAAAAAAGUGAAUGUGUCUGCUCACUUCCAUGUGAUACCUACCACUUGUCACCACCUACUGAUGUCUGUAUAUUUGCUUGUCUGUGUUUUCCGCAGAUGGUUCGUUUACAACCUGGCUGGAACUUGGAGUUUUCCAGUUUGAACAGUCCUACUGUAAUCACCUCGCAUAGCUGGGGCUUUGUCUUCCUGCAUUUUGUCACUGGUUGAUGUGCCCAGUAGGUCUGAAGGUUGUGUUUAAGUCUUACUGAAAAUGCAGCUUUGCUGGUUCUGAGCAAAACAUUGUUAGGGAGUGUAAGUUCUUCCCAGGCCUGCCGCACAUAGGCACUCAUUACCUCUACAGAUCUCCUCUGGCAUUGAUGAAACCAGUAAAAGGGAAGCUGGCACAAGCUCUUCAAUAAUAGUUGGAGCAACAAGCAAGUGGGGGUCAAUGUACAGCUGAUAAUUGCUAAAGGUAAUACUUGUUCUUAGGACUACCCCCAAAAGUCUGUAUUUGCUUCAUAUGCAUUUUGAUUACAUAAAUGUAAGGAUGGAAGCUUUUUUUAAUGCCAAGUUCACACUGUGCAGAGUGUUUCAGAUUGAAGAUGGACAAUAAUUUAUUUUGGCAUCUUGGAGAAGUAUAUGUAGGUGAGCGUAAGGCCAACAUUGGACAGGCUUCGCCCAGCUGUGUUUCAGUGGGAUGCCACAGAUAAAUGCAGAUGCAAGUGAAAAGUCCAUUUCCAGUUUCCUUUUUGAUCAUUGGAUGCAUGGGAGUAGCUCAUAUCAUCUCCUGGAUGUCCACGCACUUAUGUCACUUGGUAUGAAGUUUGUUGUGCACAGCAGUCCCAGCUGCACAAUCCUGGCUUAAGUCUGUGAAGAGAAGUCGGUCCUCUUCAUGGUAAGACUGGAUUUGAACCUCAACACAGUUUAUCACAGCUGCUCAUUUCCCCAUUUCUGAACGUGUUGGUCCAUACUGGGCUGCUCCAGAGCUGCCAGUUCUGAAUGAGUGUGAUGCAGGGAUUUGAAGCGGCUAACAUUAGUGCUGAGCUGCAGUACACACAGCUGAACAGAGGGGCAUGCACAGGUACAGCUAAAUUCCUGCCCCCAAGAAAUGGAAAGAUUGCCAGGAGCUCUGUAAAGCAGAGAUGAGCAUAUAUAUGGGCAGCAAAUUCUGAUCCCUAACACAAAAGUGAAACCUCUCUGUGACAACUUACACGGUAACCCUCACUUAUUCCCAUGUGACUGAAGUCAGAAUUGGUCUUCAAGGGACUAUCUCCUCAUUACAGAUGGCAACUUUUGUUUUGCCACGCUUCCCCCCACUUAUUUUGAAGAAUAGUUCAUCUGUUCGUCUCAGCAAUCUCUGCACCAAGAUACCCACAGAUUUUUUUAACUGCUAUGAUUUUGAGGGAAAACUCUGGAAACUAGUUUUACCAGUUCUGCCUCCAGUUGCUAGCAACCAGAAAAUGACAUGGAAAUACUUCACGCUUUGGAGUUGGGAAGACAUUGGGUUGGCAUCCAAAAGCCAAAUGUGUCAUGUUUCCUUUUAUCCUUGACCUCUCUAGGUUUUCGGAGAACUACCUGGAUUUCUUUAAAUGUUACCCCCAUGGUUAGAAGCUACUCUGCAGUUUUUGAGACUCAGAAGAAGGUUAAUUUGUUCAUUUUCACUUUCGAGAGUACUUGAGUGUAGCUGAUUAUCUCUUCAAUGCUUUACAAACUCCAUUAGCAAGAGAAGCAUUCUUUUUUUAAGAAGAAAUGUAUUUUAAAAAUAGAAACUUUAACAGAAACUGGAACGUAAUGGUAGUUUUCAAAUCUAAAUAGAUAGUAUUCUUUAGUAUGGAGACUGCUAGCACCGAUUUUCAGUCUUAUAUGAGGUUUUGGGUUAUAUUUCUGUUUUUUGCCAAGGUCUAUUUUCAAGGAAAACAUAUUUAGUUUCAUCACCGUCUAAUUUGGGAAGAGUGGCAGAGUGGGCAGCACAAGCUAAUCAGGAAUGCAAUUUUUUCCCAAGGCAUCAGAUAGACCUCCUUUAUUGUGUGCAUUUGCAUCUGUGCACAGAGACAAGCUGUACCCAUUUGCAUUAUUUUGCUUCAGCUUUGUCAGAAAUGUACGCUGUGACAAUGGAAUGCUGCUUGCCUGAAAGCCAGCAAGCUGUGUAAAUUGGCAUGUUACUCACUUAUAAAGAUCACCAGCAAGUACUCGAGCUUUAAUGAAAAUCUCUUUGAGGAAACUAACCCUCCUUAGCCUUGAUUGAUUGUUACAAACUCAUAACUGGGAGGGAAGUGUAAGUACCGGAUGAUCAUUAUCAACCAAAUCUAAUGAGUAAUAAAACCGUAUACAGGGUACACAUUUACUGUGCAUGUGUAUAUAUUUUUGUACGUUUCUACAGUUAUUUCCUACACUUGUUUUUUUGUUUGUUUUGUUUUUUUUUUUCGGUGUUCGGAAGCAUCAGAAUCUGCUUGAAAAGCAAACAAACAAACCACCCUCACUCUGUCACCCGCUGUAGUUUCGAAAGAGAACUGUGCCCAAACAAAUACACGGAUUUACAGUGCUAUGCAAAUUUCAUUUUGUAAGUUGUCUCUUAAAUCUUGUUUAAGGGGUUCAUUUUACUGUUUUUACUGAGCUUUC
ensembl:lncRNA